rnacentral:misc_RNA from 1 species
GUAUAAUUUAGGCAAUGUAACAAGAGACCAAUUACGUCACACAAGACUUCUUUUGGAGACUCAAUUUAAUCUUGAUAUAAGAAAUUCAAAGAUCUAACAUUGCAAGAUUAAAUGAAAGCUGGGCAACGUUUCUCAGGUGGGGGUAUAAAAGCAAGAAAGGCUAUGCUGAUUUCACCUCUUCAAAGAUAAAUUUCAACCAACCUAUGAAAACACAUGUAAACAGUGAAAAGGUUAAUGCGAAAGAAAUCCUUAUGCAACCGAGUGUUGAGGAAUUCUCUUCGCAUAAGACACAUUCCCCGUCCCCCCAUGCUUUAGUCGUAGCAGAGCAGAAAAUAUGUUUGUUAAUCCUCCUUGUUGCUAGCUAGUCUUGCCCGGUGUCUAAGUUCUGCUUUUUUCCACCUGACAAUCAAGUAACAUAGUGAAAAGAGGGUAUUAACCAAGAUUAUUAUCGAAAUAACCAACAGAGGCCCAGACCAGAGUGUGGAAAGAAAAAUGCCAUGUGAAUCAAAGUAAUUCUGGCGCGCAAAACUUUUCCAGUUCACAGCUAAUAUGCGAUUAAGCCUCUCAGCACCAUACACUCCUCCCAAUGCAAAAAGGAACAAAAACAUCUGGAAAUUGAUGUUCUUCCGAGACACGAUACAUACUAGAAGAAACACGGCGUGAAAUGAAAGAAGACCUACCAACCAAGGUUCCGUCCAGUCAAUGGCGUGGAAGAAUCCUAUGAAGUUGUCAUAUGCUGGUCUAAGACUCGACCUCAUCUCUGCAGAGAAUUUCUCAACAAGAUCUGCCAUUUGGUCCAUAUGGGAAUUCAAAGCACUGCUUAAUUCCUCCAUUUUCGCCUCACAAAAUUCUUUACUGCUUUAAGAUCAAGAAAGUGACGCCUCUCU